AUUGAACGCUGGCGGCAGGCUUAACACAUGCAAGUCGAGCGAAGAUGAGGUGCUUGCACCUUAUCUUAGCGGCGGACGGGUGAGUAAUGCUUAGGAAUCUGCCUAUUAGUGGGGGACGACAUUCCGAAAGGAAUGCUAAUACCGCAUACGGCCUACGGGGGAAAGCAGGGGAUCUUCGGACCUUGCGCUAAUAGAUGAGCCUAAGCCGGAUUAGCUAGUUGGUGGGGUAAAGGCCUACCAAGGCGACGAUCUGUAGCGGGUCUGAGAGGAUGAUCCGCCACACUGGGACUGAGACACGGCCCAGACUCCUACGGGAGGCAGCAGUGGGGAAUAUUGGACAAUGGGCGGAAGCCUGAUCCAGCCAUGCUGCGUGUGUGAAGAAGGCCUUUUGGUUGUAAAGCACUUUAAGCGAGGAGGAGGCUACCUGGAUUAAUACUCUAGGAUAGUGGACGUUACUCGCAGAAUAAGCACCGGCUAACUCUGUGCCAGCCGCCGCCGUAACAC
rnacentral:rRNA from 1 species